rnacentral:rRNA from 1 species
UACAGAGGGGGCAAGCGUUGUUCGGAAUUACUGGGCGUAAAGGGCGCGUAGGCGGCCUUCUAAGUCGAACGUGAAAUCCCCGGGCUCAACCCGGGAACUGCGUCCGAUACUGGAAGGCUUGAAUCCGGGAGAGGGAUGCGGAAUUCCGAGGUGUAGCGGUGAAAUGCGUAGAUAUCUGGAGGAACACCGGUGGCGAAGGCGGCGAUCCUGGACCGACACUGACGCUGAGGAGCGAAAGCCAGGGGAGCAAACGGGAUUAGAUGACC